AUGCUUACUUUGGCAGCACAUACACUAAAAUUGGAAUGAUACAGAGAAGAUUAGUAUGGCCCCUCAGCAAGAAUGACAUGCAAAUUUGGGAAGCAUUCCAGUAAAAA
ensembl:snRNA U6 U6 spliceosomal RNA